GACGAACGCUGGCGGCGUGCUUAACACAUGCAAGUCGAACGGAAAGGCCCGGCUUUUGUGGGGUGCUCGAGUGGCGAACGGGUGAGUAACACGUGAGUAACCUGCCCUUGACUUUGGGAUAACUUCAGGAAACUGGGGCUAAUACCGGAUAGGAGCUCCUGCUGCAUGGUGGGGGUUGGAAAGUUUCGGCGGUUGGGGAUGGACUCGCGGCUUAUCAGCUUGUUGGUGGGGUAGUGGCUUACCAAGGCUUUGACGGGUAGCCGGCCUGAGAGGGUGACCGGCCACAUUGGGACUGGGAUACGGCCCAGACUCCUACGGGAGGCAGGAGUGGGGAAUAUUGCACAAUGGGCGGAAGCAUGAUGCAGCAACGCCGCGUGCGGGAUGACGGCCUGCGGGUUGUAAACCGCUUUCGCCUGUGACGAAGCGUGAGUGACGGUAAUGGGUAAAGAAGCACCGGCUAACUACGUG
rnacentral:rRNA from 1 species